rnacentral:rRNA from 1 species
GGUAGUCCACGCCCUAAACGAUGUCGAUUAGCUGUUGGGCAGCAUGACUGCUUAGUAGCGAAGCUAACGCGUGAAAUCGACCGCCUGGGGAGUACGGUCGCAAGAUUAAAACUCAAAGGAAUUGACGGGGACCCGCACAAGCGGUGGAUGAUGUGGAUUAAUUCGAUGCAACGCGAAGAACCUUACCUGGUCUUGACAUGUACGGAACCCUCCAGAGACGGAGGGGUGCCUUCGGGAGCCGUAACACAGGUGCUGCAUGGCUGUCGUCAGCUCGUGUCGUGAGAUGUUGGGUNNNNNNNNNNNNNCGAGCGCAACCCUUGUCAUUAGUUGCCAUCAUUAAGUUGGGCACUCUAAUGAGACUGCCGGUGACAAGCCGGAGGAAGGUGGGGAUGACGUCAAGUCCUCAUGGCCCUUAUGACCAGGGCUUCACACGUCAUACAAUGGUCGGUACAGAGGGUAGCCAAGCCGCGAGGUGGAGCCAAUCUCACAAAACCGAUCGUAGUCCGGAUUGCACUCUGCAACUCGAGUGCAUGAAGUCGGAAUCGCUAGUAAUCGCAGGUCAGCAUACUGCGGUGAAUACGUUCCCGGGUCU